rnacentral:lncRNA from 1 species
UAUUAUAUACUUAAAACAAAAGGCAACAAGCCAUUACGUUACGUAAAAAUAUGUACAUGUACAAGUAGUAUAACAUGCCACGUACAAAUAGUGCACAUAGGUUCCAUCCAAAUCGUCAACUAGCCCGCAGAAAAAAAAAAUCUUUUAAUCAAUGGGUCAAGGAAGCAAAAAUAGUAGGAAACCUAAACAAAUAAGGACAACGAUUGGACCUAACCAGACCUCACGUGAGGAAGUUCCAAAACAGGAACCAAGACAUGAAAAAAAGACAGGUUUCCGAUCUGCUUUCACGGUCUCGGCCACCUCAACCCACGCACCUCCACCCAUAUAUAAACAAGUACAGCCGGCCGUAGAAGCACACACCAAAAUUUUUGAUGUCGGCAACCAAGAUGGCUUGAAGACAUCACACGCGACUCGGCAACUCAGAUGGCUUGAAGACAUCACACGCAACUGGGCAACUCGACAUUUGAUACGCAAAGCCACCUCCAGCCGCUUCACUCUACGUCCGACGAAGUCACGCCAAAGCACACUCAACGCAUGACAAAGCCAUGCCCAGCUACUCCAAUCGACCUCGGAAGAAGUGACGCCAAAGCACUUUUGGCCUAAAUCAUCAGAUAAUUUGGUAAUUGUUAGUAACAGUCUUAUUUUCUCCGGUUAGAAUCUUUAUAAACACUAUAUCAAUUGACAAAUUGCUCCCUAUUAAUAUUCAAGGCAAAACACUAUGACAUGCAAGAAGUUGAGCGACUUAAAUACAACGGGACUGAACUGGAACAUUCAUCAAGUAAAACAAAUACGAAUGUGGUAUUCAGUCAAUCCUACCACUGAUGAGCUUAUUAGCCUAGAUAUGAUAUAAGUGCAAAGGAUCAUCAGAAAUUGACCAAACAAUCAGUGCGGAGAUCUCGGACAAAGAUGUUGAUCCGGACGGAUAUGAAGCUGUUGAAAAUUUCAUGAUGCACGGGCCUUGCAGAGAGGCAAAUACAAAAUCACCAUGCAUGAUCGACAACAGAUGCACUAAACACUUCCCAAAAGGAUACAAUGUCGAUACCACAAUCCAUGAGGAUGGGUUUCCAGUAUAUAGAAGGUGAGACAAUGGAAGGAAGAUCAAAAAGGGAGGAGCAAUGCUCAACAACAGAUUUGUCGUACCAUACAACCGCAACCUUUUGGUCAAUUCCAAGGUCACAUAAAUGUCAAGUGGUGCAACAGGCCCAGGUCAAUCAAGUACCUAUUUAAGAACAUCCAUAAAGAUGACGAUCAGGUAAUGGCCUUACUAAAGGAAAGAGAUGCGGCAAACGACUAUGAUGACAUCAAGAAAUACCUAGAGAUGAGAUACAUAUCAACAACUGGAGCAUACUGGUGGAUAUUCCAGUUUGAUCUACACACCAUCGUGAUCCACCAGUCAAGAGACUACCAUUCCACAUUGAAAAUGAUCAAGAAGUUAUUUUUCUAGACUCGACUGACAUUGAUAAGAUAGUAGAAGGCCAGGAUCCACGAGUACUAAGUUCACUGAGUUGAUGGAGGCAAACAAAAUACAUGAGGCGGGAAAAGAAUUAACCUAUGCAGAAUUCCCAUCAAAAUUUUUAUGGAAAAGCGAAACCAAAACUUGAGGAGCCGAAACGGGGCUUCGCUAUUGGAAGAAUCUACUAUGCAAACUCUGCAAGUGGCAACCGGUAUUAUAUGAGAAUGCUUCUAAACACCAAGAAAGGAUGCACAUCAUUCAGGAUAUUGGAACCGUUAAUGGAGCUGUUCACCCAACAUACAAAUAAGCAUGCCAAGCGCUUGGAUUUCUUGAUGACGACAGUGAGUGGAUUGAAUGCAUCAAUGAAGCAUAAUGCUGGGUCUCAGGGACACAAUUACGACAAUUAUUCACCACAAUUUUAUGCCAUUGUGAGGUGACCAGCCCAAAGAUGUUGAGGGAAUCAACAUGGGAGGCACUGUCUAAAGAUAUCCAGUACAAAAGAAGAAUUAUCCUUAACUUUCCUAUGCUGUAGCUCACUGAUUCACAGAAAAAGGCAUAUGCUCUGAUUGAGAUAGACAAACUAAUGAGGCAAGAAGGAAAGACACUAAAGGACUAUCCAAAUACAGAACUACCAAAUGCUACAGAACUUGAAGAACUUGGGAACAGAAUGAUAAACGAAAAACUUAGCUAUGGCAUGGAGGCACUAAAGAAUGAGCACCAAACCAUAAUAAGCAAUGUUAACCAUGGUCAGAAAAUGACCUUUGAUGCAAUAAUGGAAUCAGUUGCGAAAGGACUUGGAAAAUAGAUAUUUGUAGAAGGCUACGGUGGCACAGGCAAAAUUUAUCUGUGGAAAGCAAUUACAACGAAGCUACGGUCAGAGGGAAAGAAAGUGCUUGCGUUAGCAUCAUCUGGCGUUGCAGCUUUGCUC